ensembl:rRNA 5S_rRNA 5S ribosomal RNA
GUCUACUUCCAUACCACCCUGAAUAUGCUUGAUCUUGUCUGAUCUCGAAAGCUAAGCAGAAUCGGGCCUUGUUAGUACUUGGAUGGGAAUAUGUUUUAAUGGUACUGUACUUGCUAUGUAACAUGCUGAAAGCCC